AUGAACGCUGGCGGCGUGCUUAACACAUGCAAGUCGAACGAUGAAGCCCAGCUUGCUGGGUGGAUUAGUGGCGAACGGGUGAGUAACACGUGAGUAACCUGCCCUUAACUCUGGGAUAAGCCUGGGAAACUGGGUCUAAUACCGGAUAGGAGCGUCCACCGCAUGGUGGGUGUUGGAAAGAUUUAUCGGUUUUGGAUGGACUCGCGGCCUAUCAGCUUGUUGGUGAGGUAAUGGCUCACCAAGGCGACGACGGGUAGCCGGCCUGAGAGGGUGACCGGCCACACUGGGACUGAGACACGGCCCAGACUCCUACGGGAGGCAGCAGUGGGGAAUAUUGCACAAUGGGCGGAAGCCUGAUGCAGCGACGCCGCGUGGGGGAUGACGGCCUUCGGGUUGUAAACUCCUUUCACCAUCGACGAAGGUUUUCUGACGGUAGAUGGAGAAGAAGCACCGGCUAACUACGUG
rnacentral:rRNA from 1 species